AUAAUACUCCCUCCGUCCGGAAAUACUUGUCCUCAAAAUGGUUGUAUCUAGACUUAUUUUAGUUAUAGAUACAUCCAUUUUGAAGACAAGUAUUUCCGGAUGGAGGGAGUAUUGG
rnacentral:pre_miRNA from 1 species